CAGCAUCUAGGGGCUGCAACCUAGUGGCGGUAGCGUG
rfam:Pseudoalteromonas luteoviolacea B = ATCC 29581, WGS project CAPN01000000 data, contig: 23